ensembl:processed_transcript 4631405J19Rik RIKEN cDNA 4631405J19 gene
GCAAGUGGGAGCCCUGCACAGAUGAGCUCUGAAGGCUGUGGUGGCCUCGGAGCUGGUGACCUGUGUGGCAGACCGAGGACAAGUCCCAGAUGAUGACCUGGGAUGCAGCCGGCCUGCCAGCUCGACUUCCUCUGGACCGAUCCCUACACUGAAACCCGCAGACUCUAAGCUCAAGUGGAUGACAUCGUGCACUCCCAGAAGUCUAGGAGGCCGGAAAUGAGAACACAGGCAGCCAGGUCCCUGCAAGGAGCAGCUCAAGUAGAAUCGGGGAAGGUUCCCGAAUGGGGAAUGAAUUGUGAAAAACAAGAAGACCUCCAGCAAGCAGACAUGCCUGGGUUCCUGUGAGCUGCCCAUUCCGCUGCCCUCAGAGUUCACAGGUGAGGGAGAUUCAGCUCAGAGAGGAUACUUGGUUAACUACAGGGAUGCAACUAAGCAGGAUCUGAACCCAGACCCCUGCUUUCCUUGGCCUGAUCUCCAGCCCUCAGGCAGCUGUUUCCAUUUCUGGAAUCCAUGAGGAACACUGGACGGGGGGGUCCAUCUGAAGGCGAGUGAGUCAGCCUGUGUUAGAAGUAAGACUGGGAUGGGGCUAGCCAAGGGCACCUGUAACUCCAGCACUUGGGAGGCUGAAGCAAGAGAAGGCCUGUGAAUCUGAGGCCAGUCUGGGCUUAUGGUGAGGCUUUCCCAGCUACACAUGGGAACUAACAACAGCGGCCGCCAUGGAUUAUUCUGAGGAGUAGUUGGCUCAUCACAAGGCACCAAACAUCACCUAGCCACCGGUAAGCCACAGUACACAAGCGAAGUGU